rnacentral:tRNA from 1 species
GCCCGGAUGGUGAAAUUGGUAGACACAAGGGACUUAAAAUCCCUCUCCCGCAAGGGAAUACCGGUUCGAUUCCGGUU